CAACCCUCAAGCUCUGCUUGGUAUUGGGCUCGCCCCGUAGGGCCUGCCUCAAAAUCAGUGGCGGCCACUGUCCGACCCUUCAGCGCAGUACUACUCGUGGCUCGUAGGAGGAUGGGAAGCCGUUAUACAACCCCCACCAUACAAGG
rnacentral:misc_RNA from 1 species